rnacentral:rRNA from 1 species
GUCGGGAAUUUUGGGCAAUGGGCGAAAGCCUGACCCAGCAACGCCGUGUGAGGGAUGAAGGCCUUCGGGUCGUAAACCUCUGUCAGGAGGGAAGAAAGGUCGUCGUUCGAAUAGGGCGGGGACUUGACGGUACCUCCAAAGGAAGGACCGGCUAACUCCGUGCCAGCAGCCGCGGUAAUACGGAGGGUCCAAGCGUUGUUCGGAAUUACUGGGCGUAAAGCGCGUGUAGGCGGCAGCGCAAGUCGGAUGUGAAAUCCCAGGGCCCAACCCUGGAACUGCACCCGAAACUGCGCAGCUAGAGUCUCGGAGAGGAUGGCGGAAUUUCCGGUGUAGAGGUGAAAUUCGUAGAUAUCGGAAGGAACACCAGUGGCGAAGGCGGCCAUCUGGACGAUGACUGACGCUGAGACGCGAAAGCGUGGGGAGCAAACAGG